UACGGAGGGAGCUAGCGUUGUUCGGAAUUACUGGGCGUAAAGCGCGCGUAGGCGGCUAUUCAAGUCAGAGGUGAAAGCCCGGGGCUCAACCCCGGAACGGCCUUUGAAACUAGGUAGCUAGAAUCUUGGAGAGGCGAGUGGAAUUCCGAGUGUAGAGGUGAAAUUCGUAGAUAUUCGGAAGAACACCAGUGGCGAAGGCGACUCGCUGGACAAGUAUUGACGCUGAGGUGCGAAAGCGUGGGGAGCAAACAGG
rnacentral:rRNA from 1 species